rnacentral:lncRNA from 1 species
CUCCUUCAUCCAGGUGUGGUCCUGAAGUGGAGUCAUGGCUUCUGGACCUCUAGUCUUCCAAAGCGCCUCAUCGGUCAGACCGAGGACGUCUGGUCCACCUGGAAGCGCGGGUCGCCGUUGACCCGGUUCAGUGUGAUUGCAGAGGAAACUGGUUGGUUCAGGAGGACUUGCUGGUGAUGCUGCCCCCUACAGAGCAGCUGUUGGACCUGCAGUGGUCAGUCAGAGGAGAGAUGUUCUCCAGAACUCUGUAAACUAGGCCUCUCUUUGGUGCAUGGUUCCUCGUUCCGUUUCCUUUUUGAGCUGAACGGUCGGGUCAGUCAUCUGGUGCCUGGCCUCGGUCUGCAGCUCCUCUUUGGGUUUUGUCGUGUGGUUUUCCGCUGAUCCUUCCCCGCUCGAAGCAGACGAUGACUGACAGGCUGCAACCUCAUCAUAAAUUCUGCAGGCUUUUUUUGUUCGGGGGGGGGGGGGGGGGGGGGGGGGGGGUGUGUGUUGCGGUCUGACUUUGACUUGUAAAUGAGCAGCAGAGCCGCUCACAAAACUCUGUCACAGUCAUGAGGCACUCUGUUUUUCUGCAGCUCUUCCUCCUCCCCCUCUGAGUUCUUCCUCCUGCGGGCGCGACAGAAGAAGGAAGUCGGCUUCUCCUCACAGCUUCACACAGACGGGCGCACAGUGACUUUGUCCGGAUCAGAGAUUUCCAGACUUGAUGAUCAUAGACCAGGUGAGCGGCUUUCCUUUCAUUUUCACUCUGACUGUCAGAGCUUAGCUGGAGAGCAUCGGCUUCCCGCUGUUUCUCAGUCUUUGGAGUGGUUGACAUGUUUCCGGGCGUCUCUCCUCUGUAGCGGAGUGAAGUCCUUCCCUUCACAGUAAACGUUCUAUGCAGAUGAUGCAGCAUUUUAAAUGUCAGAUUUGGGUCUUUGUGACCGAACGCCAUUCAGUGAGAUUUGACCAGAUUUUGAAAUUCCUUUAAAACGUUGUGUUCAGAGGAGGGGCUCAUCAAAAUGACAACCACCACCAGAGUGUGCCCUGUGUGAAAUCUGUCCGUCAGUUUUGUCCCUUUAUGCAAAUGUAGACAGAAAAACUUCUUUGUAAACAUUUUCAUGUUUCUGUCCCGCCCACUCCUCCCGUUCUUUAAUUCAGCAUUUGGUUCCAAACUUCUGGAUUAAUUAAAAAGUCUAUUUUCUGCUGCACAACGGAAGGACUCGAUAGAAGUUUCCCAUGAGAGCGAUCUAAAAAACAAGCUUUUCCAGCCUCUGAUUACAGUGAUGCAGUUCCCAUGAGUCAGUGUUAGUUGCGGCUUUUAUGACUGCUGUAGCUACAGCUACAACCAGAGACCUGAGGAAAAUGAUGAAACAAGGAUCCAGAUUAUCCCAGCUCCAACCAACCAGCAUCCGUCCGAGUACCGGGGCUUCAUCAUAUUUUCUGGACGUCUUCUAGUCGGGGCUCAGGCGGUUGAGCAGGUCGUCCAUUGAUCGAAGGGUCGGUGGUUUGACCCCCCCCCCCCAGCCAACCGUUGUUGUGUCCUUGGGCAAGACACUUUCCUCCCUGCCUCCACUGGUGCAUGAAUGGUCAAAGGCGCCAACUGGCAGCCACGCCUCCAUCAGUCUGCCCCAGGGCAGCUGUGGUUCAUCAGUAGUUACCAUCACCAAGUAUGAAUGAAUAACGGACACAUUGGAAGAACUUUGAGCGUCUGGAAAAGCAGAUAAAUCUGAUCUGUUAAUAGUCCCAAAAUGAAAAGACAGAACUUUACAGUUAAACUUUGAAUCUUUAUUUUUAUAACACUUUUCAUCUGGAACAGAAGACAAAGUGCUUUGCACCAGAACAAACACAUAAAACAAGCACAAUAAUAUAAAAAUAAGAAUAAAGCCCCCAUCCCCUUAAACUUCUUCAUCAUCCAGGGUCUUCAUCUGUAGAGAAACCUCU